rnacentral:rRNA from 1 species
UACGGAGGGUGCAAGCGUUAUCCGGAUUCACUGGGUUUAAAGGGUGCGUGGGCGGGUAUGUAAGUCAGCGGUGAAAUCCCCGAGCUUAACUUGGGAACUGCCGUUGAUACUAUAUAUCUUGAAUGUCGUGGAGGUUAGCGGAAUAUGUCAUGUAGCGGUGAAAUGCUUAGAUAUGACAUAGAACACCCAUUGCGAAGGCAGCUAACUACGCGAAUAUUGACGCUGAGGCACGAAAGCGUGGGGAUCAAACAGG